ensembl:lncRNA
AAUUCAAGUGCAGCUUUCAGACCAGUCAAACCCAAGAGACAAGCAGGAGGGCAGCCCUUCCUCAGCUUCUCUCUGCAUUAGCCUUUCAUACGCAGCCUCCAUCGACCUGUCACAGACAUCACAGUGAUUGACUGCCCUGACAGAUGUGCCGCUAUAACAGUGAAUUGCAGGAAGAGAUUUUUGAGGAACAGUCCUGAGGACCAAGCUGUUCUAACAGCUCUGAAGCCAGGCUGGUGAAUUGAAUAAGCCCAAACCAGAGCAUGAAAAACUCAAGAUCCAGCAGAGAGGAGGAGCAGAAGAGAAGUUCAAUUCCCAUCUUUCAACCUCUCUGAUGUGUCAUUUCACCCCAAGUAAUAAAGACAUUUUACAUACUGAAAGUAAUGAUAUAUUAUGAAAAAUAGAAAAGAACUAAUCUUAUAAUCAUCUUUCUUUCUAACACUAGUUUGUUAGAAAAAUUCAUAAUUCCUGUUUUGUGAAAUUCUGGAAAGAGAUCAUGAUCUACUAUUAAGGGAAAGGAUUAUUUCCAAAUAUUCUUUGUGCUAUAUCCUUAAGUAUAGCAUAUGUCCAAAGACAGUGUUCAAAGAACGUAUGCCAG